rnacentral:rRNA from 1 species
GACGUAGGGUCCAAGCGUUGUCCGGAUUUACUGGGCGUAAAGAGCGCGUAGGCGGCCUGUUAAGUGUGAAGUGAAAUCUCCAGGGCUCAACCCGGAAACUGCUUUACAUACUGGCAAGCUGGAGUGAUGAAGAGGUUUGUGGAAUUCCUGGUGUAACGGUGAAAUGUGUUGAUAUCAGGAGGAACACCCAUGGCGAAGGCAGCAAACUGGUCAUCAACUGACGCUGAGGCGCGAAAGCGUGGGUAGCAAACAGG